GCUGGGUGCGGUGGCGCACACCUGUAACCCAGCUCCUCAGGAGGCUAAGACAGGAAGAUCAAAAGUUGAAGGCCAGCCUCAAUAACUUAGUUAGGCCCUGUCUCAA
rnacentral:sRNA from 1 species